rnacentral:rRNA from 1 species
CCGCCAGACUCCUACGGGAGGCAGCAGUGGGGAAUAUUGCACAAUGGGGGAAACCCUGAUGCAGCGACGCCGCGUGAGCGAUGAAGUAUUUCGGCAUGUAAAGCUCUAUCAGCAGGGAAGAAAAUGACGGUACCUGACUAAGAAGCCCCGGCUAACUACGUGCCAGCAGCCGCGGUAAUACGUAGGGGGCAAGCGUUAUCCGGAUUCACUGGGUGUAAAGGGAGCGUAGACGGCGACGCAAGUCUGGAGUGAAAGCCCGGGGCUCAACCCCGGGACUGCAUUGGGAACUGGCGUGCUGGAGUGCCGGAGGGGCAGGCGGAAUUCCUGGUGUAGCGGUGAAAUGCGUAGAUAUCAGGAGGGACACCGGUGGCGAAGGCGGCCUGCUGGACGGAUACUGACGCUGAGGUCCGAAAGCGUGGGGAGCGAACAGGAUUAGAUACCCUUGUAC